CUGGUUGAUCCUACCAGUAAUAUACGCUCGUCUCAAAGGUUAAGCCAUGCAUGUCUAAGUACAAACUAAAAUAAAGUGAAACCGCAAAAGGCUCAGUAUAACAGCUGUAAUUUCUUAGAUCAUAUUCCCAGUACUUGGAUAACUGUGGAAAAUCUAGAGCUAAUACAUGCAUAUAAUACAAGUACCCGUCAAACGGUUCUUGUGCAGUUAUUAGACAAACCAAUCAACCCUUCGGGGAUGUUCAUAUCGGUGGAACUCUAGAUAACUUUGCUGAUCGUAUGGCCUUUGUGCCGGCGACAGAUCUUUCAAAUGUCUGCCCUAUCCACUUUGAUGGUAGUAUAGAGGACUACCAUUGUUGCAACGGGUAACGGGGAAUCAGGGUUCGAUUCCGGAGAUGGAGCCCGAGAAAUUGCUUAGGAAGGCAGCAGAAUUACAUAGAUUUCUUUCAUAGAUUCAUAACUAUCAAUUUAUUAUCAUAGAUU
rnacentral:rRNA from 1 species